rnacentral:rRNA from 1 species
UACGGAGGAUGCGAGCGUUAUCCGGAUUUAUUGGGUUUAAAGGGUGCGUAGGCGGGCUUUUAAGUCAGCGGUAAAAAUUCGGGGCCCAACCCCGUCCGGCCGUCGAAACUGGGGGCCUUGAGUGGGCGAGAAGAAGGCGGAAUGCGUGGUGUAGCGGUGAAAUGCAUAGAUAUCACGCAGAACCCCGAUUGCGAAGGCAGCCUUCCGGCGCCCUACUGACGCUGAGGCACGAAAGUGCGGGGAUCGAACAGG